rnacentral:rRNA from 1 species
AGAAUCAACGCUGGCGGCGUGCCUCAGACAUGCAAGUCGAACGCGAAAGUUUCCUUCGGGAGGCGAGUAGAGUGGCGCACGGGUGAGUAACACGUAGGUAAUCUACCUUUGGAUGGGGAAUAACAACCGGAAACGGUUGCUAAUACCGCAUAAUGCAGCGGCACCUAAUGGUGACAGUUGUUAAAGCGGGGGAUCGAAAGACCUCGCGUCUGAAGAGGAGCCUGCGGCGGAUUAGCUAGUUGGUAAGUAAUGGCUUACCAAGGCUACGAUCC